rnacentral:rRNA from 1 species
UACGUAGGGUGCAAGCGUUAAUCGGAAUUACUGGGCGUAAAGCGCACGUAGGCGGUUUGUUAUGUCGGAUGUGAAAGCCCUUGGCUCAACUGAGGAAGUGCAUCCGAAACUGGCAAGCUAGAGUACUAAAGAGGGUCGCGGAAUUCCCGGUGUAGAGGUGAAAUUCGUAGAUAUUCGGAAGAACACCAGUGGCGAGGGCGACUCACUGGCCCGAUACUGACGCUGAGGCGCGAAAGCGUGGGGAGCAAACAGG